AAUACGCAUGGCCGCAGCUA
rnacentral:siRNA from 1 species